UAGUAAAGUCGUACAAGGUUUCCGAGAAAAUAAGACCGGGAACGGUGAUCUUUCCACGGUGAAACUUAUUGAAGCCUCUGCGGGCCCGUCAAGGGCCGCUGUCACGACUAUAAAUAAAUGACAGCCUCGGCGCAAGUCAGCUUGCUGGCAACAUAAUCGAAUUGCGGGAAGCCCUAAAGCCGGUAGUACCAACCCUUGGCGGAAACGUCUCGGGGGCCUGUGUUAGUAGCACGGGGUGGUGAAAAUCUACACGGAUCGUGCAAUGGGUAAUCCGCAGCGAACCUCCUAAGGCCCCCCUGAGAGCUAUGGAAAACGUUCACAGACUAAGUGGUUAUGGGCGUGGUCGUUCCACGCUUAAGAUAUAGUCGGGKCCCUGGAGAGAUCUAGGGUUGUAACCGUUCCGUAGGUGAACCUGCGGAAGGAUCAUUACCGAGUUCGUGCCCUCCGGGGCAGACCUCCCACCCUUGUGUAUUAUUACAAAACGUUGCUUUGGCGCGCCGUACGCUCAGCUUACCCGGGGAUUUUCCCCGGCGCGCGCGCCAGAGGACCCCAAACUCUAAGUUUCAGUGUCGUCAGAGUACUAUUCAAUAGUUAAAACUUUCAACAACGGAUCUCUUGGUUCUGGCAUCGAUGAAGAACGCAGCGAAAUGCGAUAAGUAAUAUGAAUUGCAGAAUUCAGUGAAUCAUCGAAUCUUUGAACGCAUAUUGCACCCCUUGGUAUUCCGGGGGGUAUGCCUGUUCGAGCGUCAUGAUAACCUUUCCAGCCUGGCUGGGUGGUGGGCCCCGCCGCUAGGCGGGCCCUAAAACGAGUGGCGGUGCUCGUGAGCUCUACGCGUAGUAAUUUUCCUCGCUACAGAGUCCCACGGCGUGCUGGCCAGCAACCCCCAACUUUCAUGCUUGACCUCGGAUCAGKAGGGAUACCCGCUGACUUAGCAUAGUA
rnacentral:rRNA from 1 species